UAAAAAUAUGUUUUGCAAUGAUCAACAUUUAGAUGAAAGAAUUCUGAUCAGAUUAGUUUCUUCUAGUGUUGACUGUAAAUAAUUAUUUGGGUCUCCUGUCUGUGUAUGGUAUGAUAUCAACUGUGCACAAAAAAGUUAAGCAUAUUAUGGGAAAGCCACUACACUGUACCACUGUUUCACUCAGCUGCUAAACUCUGGCUUCUUCAAGCUCCAAAAUAAUGUCAGUUUUUGUGAAAACAAGCAAACAAACAAACAAAAACAACAAAACCCACAUUUUUUCUCUUACGUGGGAAAACCAAUAUCAUAACUGCAUGACCUCAUAUUGAGCAAGUUGUCCAACUUCAUCUGCACAGUGACAUUUGUGAAGACAAAUCAAACAAAUAACUGCAUUGUUUAACACACAUAGUUCAUCAUUAGCAUUGGAGGUAAAGAAAAUGAAUUCUGCUUACUAAUGCUGGUUAUGAAUAAGUCCACAUUUCCAAAGUCUCAUUUCUCUUGCCUAGAUAAUUCAUGAUUAAUUAAUCUUUUACCCAUGUAAGGCCAUUAUGGUUGGGUUGGCUGGACAAUUUAAUGGCAAAAAGCUAGCUGGAUGGACAGGGUCAAAGAGUCGUGGUUAGUGGGUAGCACUCUACCUGGAUGCCAGUGAGAAGUGGAUCUUUCAGGGCCCUUCAAUGGGAUCCCAUGCUUGACAUCUUCAACAGUGACCUGAAGGACAUAAUCGAGUGUACUGUUGAGGUGUUUGGUAAUGACGCCAAACUGGAGAGAACAGUUAAUAUGAUGGAGGGCAGGGCUGCCAGCCAAGGGAGGCAGGAGGAAUGAACCAACAGGAGCCGCAUGAACUACAAGAACAAAUGCCAAAUCCUGCACCUGAAAAGGAGGAACCUCAGGUACCAAUAAACGUGGAAGACUGAUGGACUGCCACAGCUCACCUCAGUAUUUAUUUAUUUAUUUUUAUUUGCAGAUAUGGGAAGGCAGUACUGACAUCCAAAGCUGUCUUUACAGAUGCUUCCUCAGAACUCAUUGUGCCUGUGUUUCCUGCGUCCAUGUGAUGAGGCCUACCACAUCGUUCAAAAUCACCUGUUUUCCUGCAUUUUAACAGCAAUCUUUGGACAAGCAUCUGUUGACUUAUGCUUUAGACACAGAUGGUGAAAUUUUUGAACAGUGAAACAUUACUUUGUCCUGCCUUCCACUAUGACCGCUAACUCCACUGCUAAUAUUCCAACUACCUACCAUGGAUUUUCCUCAUACAAGAUAAAACAGUGACAAAGAAAAUUGAUUUGUUCCUGUCAGAAAGUAUUAUUAUAAUGACUACAGUUCUUCACCUAUGAAUGAAGAGUAUCAGCUAUAGAGAUUUCUGGAAUUUGCUUUCAGGACUUUUGUAUAGUUAGGACUAUACAAAAUCAUUUUCCUCAAAAGAUGUUUCAGAAAGUCUUAACUUCAGGGAUCCCAUGUGUGACUUCCACGGGCAAGAAAUGCGCCUUUGAGAACCCAGAGUUGGGCAUGGUAACUCUCAAGAGUUACUAUGUUGCCCUUAGCACAGGAACCAAGAUGUAUUUGGUCCUC
rnacentral:lncRNA from 1 species